GACGAACGCUGGCGGCGUGCUUAACACAUGCAAGUCGAACGAAGUGGCGAACGGGUGAGUAACGCGUAAUCAACCUGCCCUUCAGAGGGGGACAACAGUUGGCAACGACUGCUAAUACCGCAUACUGAAGGAUGGGUUUGCGUCUGAUUAGCUAGUUGGAGGGGUAACGGCACACCAAGGCGAUGAUCAGUAGCGGGUCGGAGAGGAUGAGCGGCCACAUUGGAACUGAGACACGGCCCAGACUCCUACGGGAGGCAGCAGUGGGGAAGCGUCCGCAAGCGACGAAAGUCUGACGGAGCAACGCCGCGUGAGUGAUGACGACCUUCGGGUUGUAAAGCUCUGUUAAUCGGGACGCGGUACCGGAAUAGAAAGCCACGGCUAACUACGUGCCAGCAGCCGCGGUAAUUC
rnacentral:rRNA from 1 species